UCCGUUGUAUUAUUUUAUUUGGGCUUUUCGAUUUAAGUCCAGGCCCAUUGUGGACUUAUCUUUUGUUUAUGUCCAGCCCCAAUUUAUCAUUUGCUGUCUCAGAGAAUGUAUCUAGGUCACAGCGCCGUCUUUGAUAUUGUUAAGAAGGCGCCUCUGAUGAGAAUCUAGAAACGCAUGCGGCUAUAUUUAAUAGGUCCUUUAAUCCGGGGAGUUAACAACCUUCAUCCCACUCUCCCCACUAUGUACCAUUAAUCAGAGCUCAGACCCUUCAUCUUCAAGCGGCCAAAGUUCUCCUAUAAAUUGCCAUUGUGCAGUGAUGAAGACGGCCAUAUCAAUGGAAACUACAAGUCUCAACUCUGCUAAUUAACAUCUCCAACAAUGUUUCCUUCACCAUUUUUCUUAUUUGGAAGGCGGCCGUUGUUCAACUAUGGCGGAGGUCCGUCUUCUUCGCUUUUGGGAGGCUCGAGAUAUUACUAAUGGGUGUCACGUUAGAGCGACUACAUACAAAAACAUGACUCUCAGGCUAAGGGUCAGAGAGGCUGAUAGGUUUAAUGAGAGGUUUGGAACAGGGGAAGUCGAGAGUGGUGGGACUUUGAUUCUUUAAGACAACAUCAACACUAAGAUACAGAGGAUCAGAACAUUGAGAGGGGCUGUGUUUUAGAAAUGCGUAGAGAUGCUCUUGAAACUAUAUGGGACUUAUUGCAUGGUGAUGCUUCUCUUACGUGAUAAAGAAACCAUAUAAUGUUGCUUUGCUAUUUCAGAUUUUCUUUUGCUUUUUAAUGUGUUUUGCAGUAACGUUUUAUAGUUGUUUUCUUGGGGCUGUCAAGGAUUGAACUUAUGUAUUGUCCAAGAAAAUAACAUAAUUUCUAUUUUGUGUCCAUGUCAAUCUGCCUACGUUAGUUUGACUCUGAAACUUGUAAAGCUCGCAUGUCUUAAACCGUAUGCGGACUAAACCAUUCCAUUAAUUUUUUUGGUUUUGUUACCGGUGUCGUCGUGUUUGUGAACUUGGCAUGACUCAGGCAUACAAAAGCUUCCUCAUAUUAUAAGUAUUUUAAUCCUAAACUAGGCAAGGCAAUUAAAUGUAAAAAGAUUCCCAGUCACGAGAAAAAAUGUUUUUCUAAAUAUAUGAAAUUACAAAAUCUUUUACUCUAUUUUGUACACAUGUUAAAUCAAUAAUCACGUCACGUCCCAAAGUCUUAUAGAAGAAUGACACUUCUUUUAACAGAAAGACAAUGUUCUCAUGUUCCAUAGGUCAAUUGAAGACUAAUAAAAGAGAGCGAAGAGUCUCUUAAUGGAAGACACUGUUCUCCUGUAAAAUCUUUUUGAAGGAACUUCAGAAGACGUUGAGUCAACAAAAGAUUCUCUUGAAAACUUAAAGAGCAGCAGUGCUAAAGGCAAAGUUAUUACAUAUUCAAAAGAUGCCAUUUCCAAAUGGUUUCUUACGGGGGCAAUAAGAAAACGAGACAUUCACUAUCUGUUUGGAGAACUACAAGUCUACACUCAUGGGAACAGCAUAUGCUCUCUUAUUUGUGGGGACAACUUUCAUUUUGUGGGGACAACUUUCGUUUUCUUAUUACGGGGGCAAUAAGAAAACGAGACAUUCACUAUCUGUUUGGAGAACUACAAGUCUACAUUCAUGGGAACAGCAUAUGCUCUCUUAUUUGUGGGGACAACUUUCAUUUUGUAU